AAGGGGUCCCGCGACCACCCCAUGAGGCCACGGCCAAAGGAUCGCAUCCGCUGAAAACUCUCAGAAAGGAUGCCACAUG
rnacentral:ncRNA from 1 species